ACACACCACACACAGACACACACACACACAGAGGGCAGAUGAGGCGUAGUGGGUCGUGUCUGGCAUACAAAGCAGUCCCAUCUGUCUCGAAGAGAAAGACAUAUUCAGGAGAGGCUGAAGUCAAACGUGACAUCGCUAUUAUCACGGGUGACUGCUCGGCUCGCGUGUCUCUGCGUGUGCGCUCGGUCCUCCGUCUGCUCCGUCUCCUCCUUUCUUCCUCCUCCUCCUCUCAUCAGCCCGUCCUAAUUGACUCCUCGAUGACAGCGAGCGCGCCUCUCCCUCCCACGUGCUUCUGGCUCGAUAUUUCUCGCCGCUCCUCCAUCGUUCCUCUGUUCCACACAGUCAUCUCCAUCAUCUCCAUCAUCUCCAUCUCUCCCUCCCUUUCUCCUCUUGUGCUCUCAUUGAGAAACACAGCACAACGUAAGGGUUCGAUCUGCGAACGACGCGACGGGAUGAAAGCGAAGGAGAGCAGAUUGAGCUGAAUAAAGUUGGAUGAGGGAGCGAGAGGUCAAAAGGGGGGGAAACGUGUGAGCACGUAGUCUCUUUGAUCAAUUAUACAACGUCAGACACACUUCUGCAUUCCUCGACAUGUUUUAUUCACACGUCUGUAGUCGUAGGGAAGGUUCGGAUGGGACAUCCUGGUGGUGUUGAUACGAUACGAACAAAGAAUGGCUCCGACCUACCACACACACACACACACACACACAAACACACACACACGCACACACACGCACAGGGUUAGAUAGCAAUUAAAGUUAAUCAUUUAUUGCUUUGUUUCAGCAAAUCCUCCAUUUCCUCCAUUCUGACGCUGGAUUGAAGCAGUACUUGGACCAUGAUAUCUGAUCAUGUUUGCCAGUUGGUUAUAGGUGGCGUUCGGUCAGUGUGAUGCCGUUUCCGCCCUGCGGGCCACACAUCCCGCCUACGCGCCCACCGAUGGAAAGCCUUCGGGUCCCUCUUUGUCUCUGACUGCCACUUCCUUCCUCGCUGCCCGCCUUCCUCUCCUCCGCUCCCCGGCCGGCCUGGUUGUGUCCUGAGCCCAGAGACGGCUGGCCUGCGGGUGUUGUGAGGCCCCCGCUGAGCAUCCACACAACCUCCUUUCUUCUCGUGCCUCCCUCAGAUCGUCUCUGUCUCCAUCCUCCUCUUUGUUUUGAAACCACGGUUUCAGAGACAGCGCAACAAUAGGCGGCAUCGCGUGACGAGUGCUCUGCUUUCUCUCCGAGCACUUCUCCAACAGUGUUACGCAAAGCGCACACACACACACACACACACACACACACACACACACACCGAGGAGGACCGAUACCAUCACGCUUUAAUGAUAAUGCAUCCAAUUAGCCGGGAAGUGGGAGCAGAAUGGGGAAGAAAACAUCAAUAUAAGGUCUGCCAAUUUUAUUUGUAUUUUCUCCGAUGAGGCCACAUUUGAAUACUUUUGUAGACAUGAAGAGAAAAUAAUUAGACAUUUCAACGUCCUUCAAGACAAGUCCAAAAGAAACAUUCUGUGUUCCAGAGUUGAUAUUCCCCACAGAAGCUUAGUCCUUAGUUUAAAUAACACUUAAAAGUACAGAACCCGGCUGUAUUACGAAAUAUUUUGCUCCUUAAACCAUAAAUGAACACACUAAAUAAUACCAAUACUAUUUAAUUAACGCCAUUUAACACAGAAAACCUUCCUAUUGAUCUCAUGACGUCCUCUCUGUACACGCAUGAAGUUAAUUUAAAUAAAUAAUACAACUUUUCACAUAA